UACGUAGGGCGCAAGCGUUGUCCGGAAUUAUUGGGCGUAAAGAGCUCGUAGGCGGCUUGUCACGUCGGCUGUGAAAACCCGGGGCUCAACCCCGGCCUGCAGUCGAUACGGGCAGGCUAGAGUUCGGUAGGGGAGACUGGAAUUCCCGGUGUAGCGGUGAAAUGCGCAGAUAUCAGGAGGAACACCCAUGGCGAAGGCAGUAAACUGGUCGACAUCUGACGCUGAGGCGCGAAAGUGUGGGUAGCAAACAGG
rnacentral:rRNA from 1 species